UUUCCACUGAGCAAUUCUUAAUUUUGUGUUCUUCUUUGCUGUAGCACAGUGUAAACAGCAGCUGCAUCUUUGCUGCUGCAACUGUCUAUCCCUGUAUCAUAACCUUUGUGGUUUGUACUGGGUGGAAAUACCCAUUUGCGGCUGCUUUAUUCAGCUAUGUGUGUUUUGAAUUGGGUCUCCGAGGGAU
rfam:Hordeum vulgare subsp. vulgare, WGS project CAJW01000000 data, contig: morex_contig_1569478